rnacentral:lncRNA from 1 species
AUCUCCUGAUGUUCAUACAGAUUCUGCAUACUUAAACCCGACUAAAAAUAACUUUGUUUCUCAUAAUUCAAUAAUUUAUGCCAAUUGUUUUGAGAAUGCAAGAUAAGCAUGAGUGUAAUGUACAUAUUUCCAAGAUAUUCAAUACUAGCUGUUGUCAUGCGCGUGUGCUGACUUAAGCUCAUGAGGCACGCUUUCAAUUCACCUUUGCAUUCAAUUAGUCUAGUCUUCAACUAUAAUGUAGCUUACGAGAGUUGGGACUAAUUUACAGCUGUCGCUGUUAUCAACUUUUUACUAACAGUGUAGGUACAUCAAUCCAUGAAUCUCCCUACUUAUCCACAGGCAAAAUUAUUCCAUCCGACUCCAAAUAGCAGAAAAAGUAAUUAAGCUGUGCCCACCAACUAUUAAAGCACUAUAAAAGACUCCACAGAUAGAUGCAGAAACAAAUUCCUAAGAAAACUUAAGCAAAGUCAACAGAAAUGAAGCACUGAAAAAUACGUAGAGAAAGGCAGUCAAGUAGAGAAGAUGAUGAGCAAAGGCAUAAGAGAAUACCAUGAGGGAAGCAAGAAUCGCGAUCUGAUCAUUUGGAAAUGAAGCGGCAGCGGCGACAGCAAUGGCGGCGAGGACAAGGAGGCAUAGGCACCAGCAAAUACGUGUCGGGCGGAGGGCAGGUGCAGUGAGACACGUGCCGGCUGACACAGCGAAGCUCAUGGUCAUGGCCUGUGAUUGAUGCCGCUUUUCUUUCUGCAUUUUCGGCCUGUACAGUACCGCUGCUAAUUCUAUCAAUUUUACUUAAANAAGAAAAAAAAAUCGUUUCCCGACGGUGGGCCCCACCCGGCAGAGGGGAAUCUAGCAUUUAAAUAUCCA